rnacentral:rRNA from 1 species
UACGGGGGGGGCAAGCGUUGUUCGGAAUUACUGGGCGUAAAGGGCUCGUAGGCGGCCAACUAAGUCAGACGUGAAAUCCCCAGGCUCAACCUGGGAACUGCGUCUGAUACUGGAUGGCUUGAGUUCGGGAGAGGGAUGCGGAAUUCCAGGUGUAGCGGUGAAAUGCGUGGAUAUCUGGAGGAACACCGGUGGCGAAGGCGGCAUCCUGGACCGACACUGACACUGAGGAGCGAAAGCCGGGGGAGCAAACGGG